GGGGAUGAUCGGUUUCGACGGUAGUGACUGCCGAAGGGAAGCGGGUAGAGGAUGUAGAGUCAUCUCUUUAACGAUUCUCUGCAAAAAAUUAGUUGCCAACAAGCAGCAUUCUGACUUCGCCCUCGCCGCCUGAGCGAGCGCCUAAGUCCGUCACACUAGCGUUGCUUUCGCGCUAGAUUCGUGGCGUCGUUUUUGAAAGCCGCUGUUUUGCCCGCUCGUUAGUGGUUGGCAAAACAUAUUUAGCUAACUAGGUUCGUCAGCGACUUGUUUGCGUGAGUGCUGGAGCCGAAAACAACGUUUAGCAAACUGCACCCGGAGAAGACUUGGGUUUUGCGCUAUCGGACCAGGGUUCAAUUCCCUGCAUCUCCACAG
rnacentral:tmRNA from 1 species